CAGCACGAGUACUUGUACCUGGUGGCGACCGGCGUACGGGUGCGUAACGCGUAUGCAACCUACCUUAUACUGAGGGAUAGCCCAGAGAAAUUUGGAUUAAUACCUCAUAGUAUCAUUUGAAGGCAUCUGAGAAUGAUUAAAGGUUUAUCGGUAUAAGAGUGGGCAUGCGUAAGAUUAGUUAGUUGGUGAGGUAACGGCUCACCAAGACUUCGAUUCGUUUAGGGGUUCUGAGGAGGAUGACUCCCCACACUGGUACUGAGAUACGGACCAGACUUC
rnacentral:rRNA from 1 species